UAAGAAGAAGUUUGCAAAACCUUGGUCUAGACUUCAGAAAGCAACGGGAAAAAUGUGAAUGAUGCAGUUGGAAUUUAAAAGUGUGAUGUGACUUUGGUCAUAGUAUUGUGAAUAGCACAAAAGAAUGAGAAAUUAUUCUUCCAUUAUUUGAAAAACUAUUAUUCAAUUCAACAAAGAAGUCCCUAACAUUACUGAUAAAAGAGUGAAGUUCCAGUGCAUAUCUUCUCUGUUUCUCUUUCGUCUUGAUCAUUAAGAAGCACUGUAUAUCUGGAAAUGCUGAUGAGCAAAGCCUUGUAGUAAUUUGUGAUGCAUCUCAUUCAUACUCCUGCCCUAGACGAAGAUAUUGUGCACUGGAGUGUGCCACUGCAAACCUCAAAGGAUGUUUCUGUGGGAUAUGAUACGCCGAAGAGGUCUUAAACUCUGACAACAAGGCAGGCGAUUAAAAAGAAAGACAUUACUUUACAAGCAUGAUUAGAAAGAGACUCAUAUUUGGCUAAUUUACGUACCUUCCUUUCCAUGUUUUUCCGUGUCCAUAUUGGCUCUAACAUGCUGUGCCCAGCCAAGGACUAGUAUUCUCGUCCCUCCUUACGUAUAG
rnacentral:lncRNA from 1 species